UACAAGCUUACCCUUAUAUUUUAAGAAGGAUAAUUGGUGGUUUUGUUCUGCACGUGUAACCUUUUGAACAUCCAGUUAUAUCUCGGUGAAUGAAAAAAAGGAUGGAUCCUUAAAAAGCAAAUGUGAUUUUGUCUGUGGCACUAUUAAAAUUUACAACUGAGUUCUAGUGAUUCUGUAUCAUAUUUACUUUUUUUUGUAUUUCACGUUAAUUGCGUGUUCUAUGCUCUUAAUAUCUUGGUGGAAAUGCAAGCUUCAGUGAGAUUCUUCAUCCAAAAACAAUUAAGGAGCAGGAUGUGCUUUCAUUCCUUGGAAGUGAAAUCUUGAAUUAAACUGACAGUAGUAUGGAGCCCUACUUGAGUCAUAUCCAGUUGUGUCGUGAUUCCACUGAAGCCAAAUCACACCACUGCAUUAAUGACUUUGGAGUGGACUAUCUCGCACUGGCAUGUAACUAAUGAUCAUCCAGGCCAUCCAAAUGGGCAAAUGGUUGAUGUUGCAGAGACUUAUUAAAAAAGGGCAAAAUUUAAUUUCAUGUAAAUGGAGUACACCUGGAAAUUGUAUUUCUAAUAUGUAGAUAAACGCGAAGAGAGCACUUCCUUUUGUUUACCUUCCUACAGCCCUCCCUCGUCCUGGCCUCAGGGGCAGGGUGGAAAAGCCUCUGCUUUCUCAUUCUGCUUUGGAUGUGGCAUUGGCUGCUACAGCCAUGUCCUUGCAAACAUAUGCUGCUUCCAACAAGAAAAAUGUAUUAAGUACAAGCGGGUUGACUGGGGUCCUCGAGAAGAUGGCUUAGUUUAAGCGGUACUCUGAAAACAUAGUUCUCUUUGCAGAACUUCUGCAUGACAAAUUGCCUUCAGUCGAGUGCUUACCCUUGCAUGAUCUGCUGUACUCUAGUCUGAACUUCAUUUUCACAAAUGGUCUGUUACCAUUACAGAAAUAUUUCAUGAGCUGAGUGAAGCAACACACAGCAAGACCCCAGUUCCACAGCAGUACACAAUCAGAUAUAACUGAGUUUAUGCUACUGGAUGAUGGUCUUUCUUAUUUGUCUAUGGGAGGUAUAGAUUCACUUGAAGGGAGAAGAGUGUCCCCUGCAUUAUCCAUCCCUUUCUACAUCUAACCAUUUGGACUUCUAGAGCAAAAAUUAUGGUAAAUACUUUUUUUUUUUUUUUUUUUUUUUAAUGUUUCAAGUAAGUUAAGAUGUGCUUGAGUCUGAACAUUUGGUGUUAUCUCCAGAAUAGGAUCUUGGACUGAAGAGGUCUCUCCCUUCCUUAGCAUCCUCACAGGAUACCUGCCUAUUUUAGGAGGGGCAUGGAGAUAGCCACCCUUUAUAUAGUGACCUCUGUGCCUUGGGAGCCAGGAAUGUCUGCAUGGAGGUUUUGUGCCUUGACAAAGCUGUAGCCUUGCAUAGGCAGUGUGGGGGGGAAAGGGUCUGUGGUGCAUUCUGUGAGCAAUGUGUGGCUUUGGCCACGCAUGAGUACUCAAGCCCAGAUAGAUCUAUACAAGAGAAGCAGAAUAAAACAGUUUCGAUUGUGAAUACGCACUCCUGUGAGAAAAGCAACCCUUCUCUACGGAUAAUGGAAGGGUAAAGCAUCCAGGGGAGCCUGAAGUUCAGUAAGGAUGCCGAAGCUUGCAGGGAGUGUGAGAUGGCUUUUUUAGUACUGAGACCUUUCAUCAUCUGCCUGAGAAAUGCAUAAGCAUUGCUUUGUUUCUGUGUGUCGCUCUGAGUCUCUUUCAGUUCUUGCUGCAUCUGUUUGAGUGGAACUUCUUCAGCUACCAAGAGAUCAGGCAGCUAAAGGUGCAAGGUGGGUGAAAAAAUGGGAGCACAGGAUGGCAUUGAGAUAGAGAGCUGGCAUUGCCACAUUGUUCUUAAAGGUCCUGUAGCCAAGAGCAGUCUCAGAGAGUGUUCCCCUUGCUCACGUAACCUGCUGCUACUGGUCUGUCAGCUGUUACUCACAUUACUAUGUAUCUGCUAUGAUGUUAUUAAUUGUGCACUAUAAAUACACAUGAUGUGCAGAGCACAGGGCUAAUGUUUCCAAAAGCUUUUAGGCAUUAUCCAGGGCUAACAUCCAGACUGUUUGAGAGACCAGAGAAAAGCAUUCAGAAAAUUUAUUUCUAGUUGUGGCUUCUGCAUAACUUGAACAGGCAGAUUCAGUGGGCUUCACCAGAUAGGAAAUUUUUUGUCACAGGUGUCAUCAUUUGGGAUGAGAGGACCUGCUGUCUUUGUGGAGUAUUCUACAAAUGAUCUGUUCAUACGUGCAGGGAACUGUAAAGAGUCAAGUGGUACUUGGUAUUGAAUUUUAUAAAUAACAGUUUUAUAGUUGCUUAUUCUUUUAGACAGUUCCUCAUAUCUCCAUUUUGUUCCAUGUACUAUCACUGGCAAACAUUUUUGAAUAUUUGGUGAUGCCCCUUUGAAAAAAAAGCUGGAAAAGAUUGCCAAGAAGCUUUGUGAACCAGCCAGGCAUUGCCUUUGCCUUGGAAAGUGACCCUAGUAGUGGAAAUGGCAUCACGUUAACUUACCUUUUGGGAAUUCUGAUGGAUAUAAGGACCUAGAGACUUUACAGCAUCAAUUCACCUGAAAAUGCCUUUGGACUUAGAAUAGGCCUGGGUUCUUUGGGAUAGUCGGCUGUUUUUAUUGUGGAGUGUAAAAUCAAAAGAGAAAACAAAGAACGUGAAGGGGCCUUCUGGAGUCGAUACAAUCUGUGUGAACUCAGUGUGUUUGGUCUUCCUUUAUCUUUUUGCCUUAAAGACCUUAUAGUCUCCCUUCCAAAUGAGUUCCUGAAGCACUGGGAUUACUAGUUUACCCUCAGGUCUUAAAUCAAUGAGACUUUUGCCUCCAGUUCCUUUGGUGAAGGACACAAAAUGAGAAUAUGUCUGCAGCAGUAACUUAAUGUAAUAAAGAAAAAGAAAGCCUCACAGGGAGAGAAAGUAACAGUAUCAUGGGCUAGCUAGCAUCCUGCCAUAGGAUUGCUUGCAAAAAUACUGUCUUCAGAAAUAUGCUGCUAUCAAAGAUAUCACUUGCUCAUAAGAUCGUUGUAUGCCUAAACUGACAGUAAUUGAAGGAGCUGUUCUUGUGUUUUUGAAGUGCAGAGCCAGGAUCUAUAUAACUAACCUUAGUGGAGCUGUACACAGCCUAAUAGAGACAGAAUGCAUCCUUUAGUAAUAAUAUAGAAUAAGUGUGUGCAUGAAUCCCUCUGCCCCACAUCAUUUGAUACCUGUGUCUGAAGGAGAAAUUGGCCUUUUUUUGUUUUUGUUUUUGUGUUAUUGUUACAAGGUUUCUCAGCAAAUUAUAUGGAAGCCUUUAUCACUGUUAAAAAUGCUACUCAGGUUUGUGUUGUGUGUUUUCUGUGCAGCUUGAGAAAAUAUAGUGAUAAUAACAAAAUUUUCCACUUACAAUACCCUGUUCCUAUGUUGUUCUUUGGACACCUAACAAAUAGGAACAUAAGACUCACAAGCAUAUUCCCCUACCCAUGCCAUUAACAUAAUCUGAGAUAUAAAGAUGAGGCAUACAACUGACGUGUUGCUCUUCAUUUUAGUACAACUUCUUUACAGUACUUUGCUAUCAAAAGGGGUACAAGAAACUUGGGAGUAUGUUAGGAUAUUCUUGUCCCUGUUGGAUGCAUUCUUCAAUACUGGAUACAAUCUUUGGCCAUCAUGAAGUGAAAUUUCCUGAUUUCUUUGAGGACGUUUUUUUUUUUUCCUGUGCUGUGGAUUACCCAUUUUCUCUAUGCAGGGUUUUUUCUUCCUGUAGCAUGUGUAAUAUGAACAACAACACAUUUUAUUUAGUAUUACAGUAUUGGAGGAUGUCAAAGCAGUUAAAGCGCUAAUGUGCUUUGCACAUUUUUUACAAAAAAUGUCACCUGUUGGAUCCAAAAUUUCCUUUUUUUUUUUUUUUUUUUUUCUUCCCACUAGAAACUGGUAACAUCUCAAUUAUGGUGAGAAAAGGGGAUGAGUGGCUUCAAAAUACAGCCCAGCUCAUUUGGCAGCUGUGUCAGUACUUGAAGUUUUUAUAUUUAUCUUUGGAAAUAAGAUAUUCUUUCAUAAUUCCCUCCUGUGACAUGCAGUGUAGAUUCCAGUAAUAAGCUAGAUAGCUGAUACCUCAAUGUUUAUUUUCAAUAUGCAUAAGUUGCUCUGAAGGCUAUGCUUCCUAUUUAUUUCUGUGGACACUACAAUGAAGAGUACAAAAUGACACUAGUAGAGCAAAUUCUCAGCUACAAAUCAGUUUUUCAACACUCACCACUAUGAGCUGUGCGUUUUCAUCAGCUGUGAACAAGAGCCUGCACACUGCUCUUGUAACAGUCUGCACCAGCAGAAGUGACCCACAGCUGCCGCUCCUGAAAUGCGCCCCCCACCGCCUCACUGCUCAGCAAGCAUCAAUGAAUGUCAGUAGGUGCCACUUUUUUUUCUGCACUGAGAAACUCAGCAACCCAUCUUUGCUUCAUCCACACUUCCAUCUCAGGCGCCGUUUUGUCAGAGUGCCCCUGUGCUGCCUCCUGUCACGUGGCAAUGAGACACUGGUGGGAAUGUUCAACCUCUGCUGCCGUAUCACCAAUGUUUUCCUCUGACAUAGUGGACCAACAUUAUAAAAUAGGAACUGAGCUAUAUUCUGGGGAGUUUUUCCUGUGAUACCUGCUUCUAUUAAUAGUGUUCACUACAAUUCAUCCAGAAGUAAAUAUUUGUAAAGCUUUCUGGUGGAAAAUAAAGAGGAAUUUUAAUUUUGUUUGCA